CUUCUCUUCAGACAGGAUCGAAGAACAGAAAGUUUCUCAUACGAACUGCAAAGGGUUGCUGUCAGACCAUCAAGGAUGGAGAGUGAUGCUGGCCUUGCUCCAGGGAAAGCCUUCUCCCGGCUGCAGGCUCACGGGCUGUGGUCCCCUGAAAUGCCACCUAUGCAGGACUUCUAACAUGGUUGUUAUGAACAUGAUCUCCUCUCGUCAGUUUGCAGUGAGUCAAAUGCGGCUUUUUACGAAGCUCCAGCAAUGUCAUGUGUUUCAACAAGACUGUGAGAUUUGGCAGGAAUCUGGUCUUUAUUCCUGUCUCUCUUCCACACCUGACCCAUCUUCCUCACUCGAGCAUACUAACAGAUGACUCAAAUGGAAAUGCCCAAGAUGCCACCUAUGCUGCUGGGCCUGCCAUUUUCCACUGCUUGAGUCUUCAGAGCAGCUGAGUCAACAUGAAGGAGCAGGAAGAGGACUGGAUGAACCUGGACCAGCUGAAUAUGUCCCUAGGCCUUAUACCUCAGGCUUCCUGACUCAAUCUACUUUAAAUAGCCAUUUCAAGCCAUAUCAAAGCAAUAUUUCCACAUCACUAUCUUCACCAUUGUCAAUGAACUUUUAAUUAUAUUGAAUCUAAGGUAGAUGCCUGGCAUAUAAAAUUUUAAAAUACGUGCCUAAUGUGCUAAAACUGCAAUUUACUGAGUGAAGACCAACUUUGUGGGAGGUACUGGGCACAUACUUUGAAUGCGAGACAAGGAUGCUGUGGAUGAUAAAAAUCAUCAUGAGUUCAAUGAAAGGCUGGACAAAUUCACAAAAGACUAUUUAAGCAGAGAAACCACAUAAACCUCAGGAAGUCCUUGAGCUGCACAGGGUUGGCAGUUGGGAGAAUACCCAGAGCAGGUAAGUGCACAUAUUUUUAUGUUUUUCUCUAGGCAUUCGCUUUGGCUGUGGUCAGAGACACUCUACUCCCUAGAUGUCCUCUUGUCUGGUGGGAGCGGCUGUUGUGGUGCCCAGGAGAGCCAGAGCUUGCUGGAGCGCGUGUGAGCCGCCAUGGAGUUCUUGCUCACCUUAGACUGGCUUUUCUUGCUCCGCUGGCUUGUGGCUGCCUGCUGCCAUCUACUACAAGCAGGUCCUAGGCCAGCUGGAGCCAUGGUAAACUUGACCGUCCUGCCUCCUGCCAAGAGCACAGCAAAGGCUGGUGUGCUGCACCAGCCUGCAACCCAAACCACAGCCAGCAGUGCUGAUUUUAGGCCAGGAGCUUUGAGUUUCCCUUCUAAUAGCAAAGACCAUGUUCAAACCUGUCUCUGAGCAUGACGUGAUGCAUGUCCAUGACAGAAGAGGACACAGAGUGAAAACUGGCCUCACAGGAGUCAGCAUGGGUUCACCCCUUCACUUGAACAAGUGGCUUUUCUGAGCAUCAUUACUACUAUACUCCAAAGCAGCAGAGACGUAAUAGGACCAUGUAGCGGUCUGCAGCCAAUAAAUCCUCUCAUAUGUGAUAGCAAAUUUAUGAAUUUUGAUGGUAUCCACGAGUAGUAAGCUGAAUUGCCAUAAGAUAGACUUUUUAUUAAGUAUCUUACUAAAUACAUACUUUGCUGUCUAUCUGGUGAGUGAAUUUAGUGUUCAAAGCCUUUCCCACA